UACGUAGGGUGCAAGCGUUGUCCGGAAUUAUUGGGCGUAAAGAGCUCGUAGGCGGUCUGUCGCGUCUGCUGUGAAACUCAGGGCUUAACCCUGAGCUUGCAGUGGGUACGGGCAGACUAGAGUGCGGUAGGGGAGACUGGAAUUCCUGGUGUAGCGGUGAAAUGCGCAGAUAUCAGGAGGAACACCGGUGGCGAAGGCGGGUCUCUGGGCCGAUACUGACGCUGAGGAGCGAAAGCGUGGGGAGCGAACAGG
rnacentral:rRNA from 1 species